AGUUGCAUGAAGACUAUUGGCUGAUCCUUGUGCCACCAGCGAGGUCCCCUGUAGAAAGAUUCUAUUAGGUCUGAGAGAAAUGAACAAAAAUCACAGAUUCAACAUACCCAAUCUGAUUGAUUCAGUGAUGAAGCUGUCAGCUGUCAGUAUCCGUGGAUACACAGCCAAGGGACUCACGGUAUAGGAUGAAGAUGAUUUUUAUCUCAAAUGAUUCUGAAAAAGAGGGCAGACGCUGAAGAGUAUGGCGCCUAUGAGGUGGAGGAAGAUUAAUGACUGAUCCUGUUCCACCCUCCUGAGGGCCAUAUAACAAGAUGGGACCUAGUUUCUCCCUGCUUCGAUUAAGUACAUGGAGAUAUGCCAGAAUGACCCCAGGACAGCACAUUUACUCAUUUUCUAAGGAACAAAAUCUUAGCAGUUAGCUCUGUGGCUUAAGAACAGAGAGAAAUUUAAUGCAAACACAGCAAGCUGAUCUGAUCCUUCUCUGACUGGGAAGACCCUGACUAUUCUGGGACUUAGGAGAUUAAAGGCCAAGGUGAGGAAGCAUCAGUGUUGGUGUUAUUACACCUGCUUUACCAUAAGGACAAAUCAGGCAAAAGGCAGAAGAGCAGGUGGACGCUAAUGAGUGAACAGAGAAUGGCUGAUUUAAUCAUUUAAUAAAGAAUUGCUAUCAUGAGCGAGCAGCAUAAAGUCUAAUAUAAAGUGAAGACACUGUCGCAUUUGGUCGUUAGCCUGUGAUGGAGACCUUGACCUUUGCCUCUCCGGAUAAAGAGAGAAGCGCUCGCUGGUGACGAUGGUGGCCAUGGCUUCCGUGGGUAAAUCGAGGAACAAAAAGGAUGCUGUUCUUGGGUCAGUGAUGACAGUGAGACUUGACUCGACUUCAUGAUUAACCUAGCACCUCCAACUGAUGUCCUUUAAGUCAGUCUGGACCCUUUGUCCUUCUGAACGUUGCUCCACAGAAUGAAGGUCACGGCUGAUUGCAUCCGUCUGUUCUGAGGAAGAUCUUGGCUGUUACCUUUCUGGGUAAGAAACCCAACAACUAAAGUAAAAUAAUAGUAGUCAAAAGAUCUUGUCACGAGAUCUUGGGGUGGGUUUUUCGCUAGCGUCCUUUGAAUUAUUUCGACUACGCCAUCCAUAGGCCCAUGAUGUGAGUGUGUUGUGAAACAAAGCUUAUAGUUUAAUCCAGUGGGGUGCGAUUCUGGUUAAAAAUAGGAUGGAAUACAUCUUAUUCAUUUUCAAAGCGGAUUAAUAAUCCAUCUUAUUUUUGUGCUGCAUUUGAUUUAAACUCUCAUCUGGUAACAAAACCUAGGGCCACACUGUCCACUGUGGUUGGUUGUCUCUAGUAGCCACCUGUGGCUGUUUAAAUUCAGCUCCUCAGUUGCACUCUCCACAUUUCAGGUUCUUCGGAGCUGUGUGUGGCAAUGUGAUUGCACUGGGGGGGCAUGGUCCUAGCACAUUCAUGUCGUCAUGCCCUGUCCUAUGGGACAGCUCCUUGUCCUGUGGGAAGAUGGAAGAGAGUUGGAGGAGGAUGCGUGAAGCAAGGAUGCUCGUUGAUCCAUAGACACCUCAGUGAGGGCCACUACAAAAAGGGACCGUAUCUAUUGAGAAAAGAUCUAGUUUAUGGGAAGAGAGCCUAUACAGGUCUUGGUUACAUCCAAGGGUCUUGUUCUUGGCUCUUCAAAAAUUCCUGGGUGUUGAUGUAACCAUCCGUCAUGGAUCAACGAAUGGGUCAAUAAACAAAGGUAUAAAUGAAGGAAAAGAUUGCUUAGCCCGGAUCGAUGAUGAGUACCCUGGGGUGUCUGAAGUCGAGGACUUUGAUUAAACCCUAUAACUCUGAGGUCCGUUACAGAAGAUUCAUCCUUCUUUGCUAUUCCUAUGGUAAUAAGCUUUUUGUAAGAGUUAAAAAUUUUCAAGUUUGCUCUUGUGCUUGGGUUUCUGAAUAUCGUAUUUUCAAUGCACAAAUAAAUCAAGGAAGUAUAAAUGAAUAAGGACAAAAUGGUUUAUUCCUGGUCCAAAUAUGGGAGAAUGUAAUGUAAUAUACAUAAUAUAAAAAUCAUUAUUAAUAUAUUUCUGAAGCACUGGGUUCCAGUAAAAUAAAUUUAUUAAAGCCGACCAUUUUGGGUAAAGAGCAUUUAGAUAAAUGGAUGUGAGAGCACCUGUUGUUUUUCUGGGUUAGGUUCUUGGAUUUUUGUUUUAUUAAGAGUAGGGUAAAACGUUUACUUAAAUUAACUAUUGAUUAAAUAACUACGUAAUUGAGAGAGGACUUAUGCAGAGAUAUGUGUUAAGGAUCUGUCGCAUGGUCGGUUAUGAUUAACCCAAUGGAUUUUCACUAUUUUUAAUGAAAAAAACAACCAAGAAAAAAAUGUGAUCUUUUUUCUGUGCUUGAUGGGCCACAUGGACAGGGAUUAAUAUUGUCCUGUUUCUGUGGAGUCACAGAUAUUAAUGAUAUGGAUAUACAUAUGUAUACAAGAAUAAGUUAAUAGUUUAAUCAGUUACUUGAAAGAAGGCAAUGUAUGGACCAAUGAGGACCAUGUGUUCUGGAACAAGGAGAGUGAUGAAUCCACAUCUAUGUACUUGUUCUCCAGAUAAAGAGACGAGAUCGAGGCUCUUAAUUUUUGAAAUGGUCAAUAUAUUUAGGUAGGAUUUCUCUUCCUGGCUUGUUGGUCCAAUUGCUGUAAAAAAUGGAAGAUAAAGUGACUCCGUGUGUAACGAUAUCCCUGCCUACAUGCUUACAUGUAUAAAGAUGGGACAAGCAUGGACAAUGGCUGAUGGAGAUAUACUCGAAUCCAAGAUUCAGAUGAACCUGAUUCUUUCCAGGAAAAGAUUCAUCUAGCAAGAAGUUAGAGCUCUCACCUGACCAGAUGGGGAUGUAUAAAUAUGUGUAGUGGCCAUAGUUCUUAUUCUUUUGUUUGGUGUUGGUUUCAAAGUUGUUGAUUAUAUUCAUUAAAUUAAAUUUUUGAUUCAGCGAACAAAUAUGCCAUUCAGAGUUUUAAUAUACAACAAGCACUAAAAUUUAUUCAUAGUCCAUUGUUGACUUAAAACUCCACUAGAAAAAAUCUGAAUCUAGGCUGUCCUAUCUCCCUAUCUAUCUAUCUAUCUAUCUAUCUAUCUAUCUGAGAUAAUCUGUCUCUUUUAAUAUUUGUUUUGUACUCUGCAGAAUGGAUGUGCAAUGAUUCAAUUAAAGACUAUAGAACUUACGUAAGUAAUAGUCAAAGUAAUUGCUUCUGGUUUGGUGGUUUGUCAUGGAUGUUAACUCUGUUAUUGGAAGGGAAUAAAUGGCUACAUGUACAAAUUAAAUAAAUGGAGGUCGUGUGUGGGCCAGCUUAGCACAUCUGUGGUCAAUUGAGGAGAAAAAAGAAAGACUAUUUUAUUCGUUUUCAUGGUUAAUUACUCAAUUAAUGAAUUAAUGUAUAAUGUAUUAUUCAAUUUAAUAUGAGUCACAGUUGAUUUGAACCCUCCUUGUUAAAGACACAAUUUUGUCACCUUCCAACAGUAAAAUGGGCUUAAUAUGAAGUAUUAUAUUAAUUAAUCUAUGUAGGAGACAUUGUGGCCAGUUCAUGAAACACACAUAUUGUCUGUGGAAAGUAAUUCUAUGGAGAAAUGUUAGAGAUAUUCAAAGGUCUUGUUUCAAGAUUUUAUGACCUCUAGGUCUUCAUUUUAUCUUUGUUAGUGAAGUAAUGAUUUAGUAAAGACACAGCCAUGAUUGGAGAUGAUGAAGGCCAGCCCUGGACCAAUGAUGAUGACUGGUGGAGUAUGAGUCAUGAACGAUGAAUACUUGUCUGGAACUCUGAGGUCCAGCCCGAUAAGCCACCUGGUCUGCAACAUCUCUGAGAAGUUAUUCUACGGGUAGAUGUCAGGGAUCUCGAGGAUCCUCUUUUCAGUUUUUGUGUUUAUGGAAUUUGAGUGCAUUGUUAGAAGUGCAUCAGUGAAAGCACCAAGCAAUAAACACAGUUGACCCUUGCACCAUUUUGUUGGGUAACCUCAGGGGUUCAAAAAUCCUUUCAUGGCUGUCUCUGCUUCAGAAGCCAAGAAACUGACAAACGACGCACCCAAGGUCAGGACUCUGAACCAGUUUGGUUAGAAUCAGGAUUGAAACCCUGUUUCUUUUGAUCCACAUAUUAUGAACUCUUAAUCAAACACAAACUUUUCUCCACAGUUAGCUAAUUUUUACAAACAAUUUAUUGGAGCAUAGUAGACUUACAAAGUUGUGUUAGUUUCUGGUGUACAGCAACGUAAAUCAGCUAUAUGUGUGUAUAUAUAUAUCCAUUCCUUUUCAGAUUUUCAUUUUCCCAUAUAGGUUAUUACACAGUAUUCAGUGAUUUCCCUGUGCUAUACAGUGGGUCCUUGUUAACCUAUCUAUUAUAUGUAGUCACAUUUAUUAAUUUAAAGAUCUCGAAAAUGAAAAUACAGGUACUAUAUUUACUGUAUAAAUGGACCCAUAAAGUUCAAACCUGUGUUGUUCAAGGGUCAACUGUAUACAAAUAAAGAGGGCGAAGCAUUGUCUAAUUAUGAAAAUAUGUUAAUGGAAAUACUAUUAAUAUAUAUUAAAGACACUGAAGGCCAUUAAGAGAGAAAUGUUAUAAAGGUAUUACCUCUUUGGCUGAGGAUGAUAUUUACAAUGUGAAUAACAGUCCCUGUUUUUGUUUGGUCAAGGUCUUGUUCAUUGUUGUUUGUUUUCUCAAGAAAGAAAAAUACCACCAUUUAAUACAUGCUUAGAUGACUAACAAAAUGCAAAGUGGAAUGCAAGGAUAAAUGGAAGGAAUAUUUCAAUCUUCUUCUCAUUUGUUCUGCUUUGUGCUCCUAGAGUGGGUGCUCCAGGUCAAUGUAAGCAUCUUCAAGAGUCCUGCUCUCUCUGGCCGCCUCAACGUGUCCGGAACAUGGAGACUGAUGUGAGUGUAGGCAAAGCUUCAUCGUGGUUUGGGUGUUUUUAAAGGGUAUCCACCGUAUUGUUGGUCCAAGGAGACCAACAGUGGUUCACUGAUAAAUAUGACGGUGUCAUGAACAUUAUGUUGAUGAAGUAAUACUUGCAAACUUAAGAGUGAUUAAAAAAGAGAUGUAGUCCACAUGGUAAAUGAUCCUAUUGAGAGCUCUUAAGGAACUUAAAGAUCGUGUGUUAAGUUUUUGCAAUUCAGUUAUUUAAUUCUUAUGGAAAGGAAGAAUUAAUCAAUAAACAAAUGAAGAAAUCAGUGGAGAAGAAGAGGGCCAGUUCUUGACCAAGGGUGACGACUGGUGGCACAUGAGUCGUAAGUCGCCCAUGGUGACUACUACGUGCUGGAAACGUUGAGGCCCAACAUAAAAACGAGACCUAGCCGAUCACCUCUGUGGGAAACGAUCCUGCAGACAGAUCUAGGAUUUAUUUCACAAGGGUCUUUUUCUGGGGUCUCCGUGCUUAUGGAUUUUGAUUCUAUUAUAGCCAAUGAAUCAAUAAAAGAAAUAAAUAAAGACGAAAAGGGGGCCAUAUCCUCCAAUUAUGAAGAAAUAUAGGAAGGCAAGAAAUAAUAUUAAAUAUUGAAACACUAAGUCAGGUAAGAAAUAAAUGGUCCAGGAGUUCCCUGGUGGUUCAGUGGGUUAAGGAUCUGGAGUUGUCACUCUUGUGACUUGGGUCACUCCUGUGGCACAGGUUCAGUCCCUAGACUGGGAACUUCCACAUGCCUUGGACCAUAAGUGGUCCAAGGGUGUUUCCUCUAGCUAGGAAUGCUGUAGAUGAUAUAAAUAAUGGCCAAUAGUAUUGUUCUGGUGUAGUGGAAAGUUCAGCGUGGCUUGUUUUCUCAGGAAAAAGUUAUAUGUUACCUCCAAUUAAUAUGUAAUAUAAUCACUGAAUAAAGAUCAAUAGAGGAAACAUCUCAAUCAUGUAAUCACCUACUCUGCUUUCUACAUUUGAUAAAAAUUUUUUUUUGAUCUUUUCAGGGCCUCACUCAUGGCAUAUGGAAGUUUCCAGGCUAGGGGUUAAAUUGGAGCUGUAGCUGUAGCUGUAGCUGCAGAGCCAUAGUGACACGGGAUCUGAGCUAUGUCUGUGACCUAUACCACAGCUUGUGGUAAUGCUGGAUCCUUAACCCACUGUGCGAGGCCAGGGAUUGAACCUGUAUCCUCAUGGAUACUAGUCGGGUUCAUUAUCACCGAGACACAAUGGGGACUCCCUACUUUCUACAUUUUAGAAUGGACACACUCAGGCUGAUUUAAGCAUGAGC
rnacentral:lncRNA from 1 species